CUCUGUUUCUCACCAGUGCUACAGGGGGGAAUGUUUUGGUACUCUGGAUCACUCUGCAGGCGUGGAAGCUUUGCAUGGAAGUUACUGUCAUCUAUGACAUUACCUGGCAGCAGUAAGGAUGUCCUCAGUUACAGCAGAUGGUCCAGAGCCUCGGCCUUCAAACCAGCUACACAGCCUCUACUCCAGUGUAAUGACAACGCAGUAGAGACAACAACCACCACAUCCAGCUGGAGAGCAC
rnacentral:lncRNA from 14 species